GAUUUUGAGACCAUAGCAGUCCUGUGCAACACUGGAUAUGAGUGUGCAAUAUACCAUCUAAAGGAACCGGCGAGUCAGAAUGUCUGAGAAGAUCAAGUGUGCUUCACCACUGAUGAUGAUGAGCUGGAUACCAGCUUAUGGGCUAAUUUCUUUCAUUCAUUGCCAGAGGACGGGACCAGAUGUGUUUGGAGUUGAAGACAAUGCUGAAGACCAAAGAAGCAACGGAAGAAGAACAUUUAAGCACUGAGGGUGUCCAGCCUGUUUGCCAUGACAGAUCCAGCGGCUAGAUGGCGGAAGAUGCUUCAAUACCCAAUUGCACUGAAUCAUUAGAUGAUCAAUUAAUUAAUAUUAAUAUAUAUUUUUAAAUUAUCUUAUUAUAUUAAAUAAUUGGUCUCAGUUUACUAUUUCAUAUAUUAGUUUGAAUAAUAAUGUUUUUAUAAUGUGUACGCCAUGCCUGAGGAGG